GCCUGUUUCUAUUUCCUUGCCAACAGCUUCUUCUCAACUUUUGUUUGAGCAUCACACACACACACACACACACACACACACACAGAUAUACACACACACACACACACACAGAUACACACACACACACACACACACACACAAAUAGCCCGCUUGUUCCAAAAGCAUGGACAUUUUACGUUUCUACUUACAGUGUGCGCACACUGACUGAAGCUCUGUGUUGCAGUGAUAUGUGUUGCUAGGAUUGUGGCUCUGUUUCGAAUUUGCUAGCCAGGCUAUGGCUUUCCAGUCAGGUAUUUCUUGUUUUGUUCAUGCUGUUGCUGUCCUUGGGCUGUGUGAAUUUCCCUCCACUGCCCAGCCAGAUUUCCCUUCCGGUGGACGGGCUUAGUGUCUCAUCCAGCAGCCCUGUGCCCUGGUGAUCUGGGCCGAGUGUGUCAUCCGAUGGCCCUGUUUCCUGGUGACCUGGGCCGAGUGUCUCAUCUGGCAGCCCUGUUUCCUGGUGACCUGGGCCGAGUGUCUCAUCCGGCAGCCCUGUUUCCUGGUGAUCUGGGCUGAGUGCCUCCAUGAGAAGUUGCACCCAUCUUCUCCAGUAGUGCAUCAUUUCACAGCAAGCAACACAUUUUCACCACGUUUCUAGUGGGACAUGUGCUAGCUCUUUUCUGGGCAUCAGCAGACCUGGCUUUUUUCUGGUUCAAGCAACAGCUGGUGAGUUACCAAAGACAAGUCGCAUCUGGCCCCUGGUCCUUUGCUUUAUAAGUAGAAUCACAGUCCGAGUGGGCAUCACUGCCCUGGUCUCUCUGCGGUGCUGAGUGUUGUGGGGAUGAUGGCUAAGUGUCAGGGUGCAUUUCCACCACUAGGGGAUUACAGUCCAGCAAAGACACAGGAGGAAAGCUAACAGCCCCGGGCAGGUACACAGAACCAGAGGAGUUUGGAAGGGUGGUUCCAAGCUCCGUGGUGUGAUUGAUGUGAUCACAAUAAACAUUUUAUCUCUAAGUCUUGGGCCAUUGGACCAAGAGAAGAGAGAGCUGGUGUUGAGUUGUAGUGAGAGGUGUGUGGUUCGUGUACCUGCUGAGCCUGGCUGGGACUCAAUUCCAUUUUACCUUCUGUUUCCACCUUUUUCAUGCUCCUGCUUGUUUCUCCAGAAAAAAUUGCAAUAAAUUCUUUUCAAAAAUUUUACAAAAGCCAUAGAUGCUUAUUGAAAAUAGUUCAAAUGAUAUAGAAGACAGAAAGAUAGUGAAUGUUUUUCUGUUGUGUGUUUGGAUGAAUGUGUCUUUGGGGUAGUCACUAUUAACACUGGGUGUAUUUCCUUCCAGAUCUUUUCCAGUGUACCUACAAAUAUGUAUGUACACUUUGUAAAGAACAAAAUAGUACCUGAUAAACACUGAGUCUCCCUACUCCCACUGCGCAGUCUACGUGGACAUCCUUUCAUGGUGAUACGAUGAGACCUGAUCGACUCCUUUUGUUCGCUGGAGUGACAGGUGCAGUGGCGGGCGCCCGUAAUCCCACCUACUCAGAAGGCUGAGGCAUGAGAACCACUGGAACACGGGAGGCGGAUGCUACAGUGAGCAAGCCGAGAUUGCACCAUUGUAUUCCACCCUGGGCAACAGUGAGACUCUGUCGCGAAGAGAAAAAAGAGAAAGAGUAAGAGUAAGCUAGGGCACCCACUAUGGCAAACAGUAUGGAGGUUCCUCAGAAAACUGCAGAUGAAAUUACAGUGUGAUCCAGCAGUCCCACUACAGUGUAGAUACCCAAAGAAAAGGAAAUCAGUGUCGGAGGGGCAUCCACACCUCUGUUUCCUACAGCACUGUUCACCAUAGCCAAGAUAUGGAAUCAGCCUCGGUGUCCAACAGCAGAUGA